rnacentral:rRNA from 1 species
UGAGCAACCUGCCCUUAACUCUGGGAUAAGCCUGGGAAACUGGGUCUAAUACCGGAUAUGACUCCUCAUCGCAUGGUGGGGGGUGGAAAGCUUUUUGUGGUUUUGGAUGGACUCGCGGCCUAUCAGCUUGUUGGUGAGGUAAUGGCUUACCAAGGCGACGACGGGUAGCCGGCCUGAGAGGGUGACCGGCCACACUGGGACUGAGACACGGCCCAGACUCCGUACGGGAGGCAG